CUCGAAAGCCCGGCCCGACUGCUCGACGGUAUUCGAAUAUCACAAGGUGUGUAAUCGAGAGCCGCAUUUGAAUGCGUUCGGCGCGUCGGUCGGCUUCGGCUCGCUCGGUUAUUUUACGGACCUGGAUGCCGUUACUGGGCGCUUGCCGAGGCUUUUUGUACCGACGACGAUCUCGAACCGGCUCUGCGCGCGCGAAAGCGUUCGCGCUCUCGCGCGCUCACCUGUCGGCGACGCUUUUGCUUUGGGUACUUUCAGGACCCGUCUUGAAACACGGACCAAGGAGUCUAACAUGUGCGCGAGUCAUUGGGUUUUUUUAUAUUAUAUUUAAAGCCUAAAGGCGCAAUGAAAGUGAAGAUACGGCAGGCAUUCGUGCCUGAGCCGAUCGAGGGAGGAUGGCCCGCGUCACGAUGCGGGCCCGCACUCCCGGGGCGUCUCGCGCUCAUUGCG
rnacentral:rRNA from 1 species